rnacentral:rRNA from 2 species
UGAGGAAUAUUGCACAAUGGGCGAAAGCCUGAUGCAGCAACGCCGCGUGAGUGAUGAAGGCCCUCGGGUUGUUAAGCUCUGUCGGGUGGGAAGAUGUGGUCCGGCUAACAACCGGAUUGUGACGGUACCAUCAAAGGAAGCACCGGCUAACUCCGUGCCAGCAGCCGCGGUAAUACGGAGGGUGCAAGCGUUGUCCGGAUUUAUUGGGCGUAAAGCACGUGCAGGCGGCUUGGUAUGUCGAGUGUGAAAUCCCGGGGCUUAACCCCGGAACUGCGCUCGAAACUGCCAAGCUUGAGUUCGGAAGGGGGAGAUGGAAUUUCCGGUGUAGGGGUGAAAUCCGUAGAUAUCGGGAAGAAUACCGGUGGCGAAGGCGAUCUCCUGGUCCGAUACUGACGCUCAGACGUGAAAGCGUGGGUAGCAAACAGA